rnacentral:rRNA from 1 species
AUUGAACGCUGGCGGCAUGCCUUACACAUGCAAGUCGAACGGCAGCACGGGUGCUUGCACCUGGUGGCGAGUGGCGAACGGGUGAGUAAUACAUCGGAACGUACCUUAUCGUGGGGGAUAACGCAGCGAAAGCUGUGCUAAUACCGCAUACGCCCUGAGGGGGAAAGCGGGGGAUCGCAAGACCUCGCGCGAUUAGAGCGGCCGAUGCCUGAUUAGCUUGUUGGUGGGGUAAAAGCCCACCAAGGCGACGAUCAGUAGCUGGUCUGAGAGGACGAUCAGACACACUGGGACGGAGACACGGCCCAGGAUCCUACGGGAGGCAGCAGUGGGGAAUUUUGGACAAUGGGGGCAACCCUGAUCCAGCAAUGCCGCGUGAGUGAAGAAGGCCUUCGGGUUGUAAAGCUCUUUUGUCAGGGAAGAAACACCGGCUCUAACACAGUCCGGGAAUGACGGUACCUGAAGAAUAAGCACCGGCUAACUACGUGCCAGCCGCCGCUGUAA